rnacentral:rRNA from 1 species
AAAAACGGAAAGGCUUUGGUGGGUUUCCUCGUGCCAGCGGCUUCGGCUGUUGAGUGCCCGCCAGAGGACCCCAACUCUUGUUUUUAGUGAUGUCUGAGUACUAUAUAAUAGUUAAAACUUUCAACAACGGAUCUCUUGGUUCUGGCAUCGAUGAAGAACGCAGCGAAAUGCGAUAAGUAAUGUGAAUUGCAGAAUUCAGUGAAUCAUCGAAUCUUUGAACGCACAUUGCGCCCUCUGGUAUUCCGGGGGGCAUGCCUGUUCGAGCGUCAUUAUAACCACUCAAGCUCUCGCUUGGUAUUGGGGUUCGCGGUUUCGCGGCCCCUAAAAUCAGUGGCGGUGCCUGUCGGCUCUACGCGUAGUAAUACUCCUCGCGAUUGAGUCCGGUAGGUCUACUUGCCAGCAACCCCUAAUUUUUUUAAGGUUGACCUCGGAUCA